AUUAAGAAUUCUCCUCACAAUUUAACUGUAAAUAAAAUACAAUGCUAAAAUACACUCCUACCAAAAAGGAAGUCAAUUUAAAUGACAAAAAAACAGUUUGUACAGAAAUACAAGAGUUUGAAAGAAAAGAACAGAUAGGUAUGUGGGUAGGCGUGGACAAUAGAGCAGGGGGAGUGCAAAUACCAGCUAUACCAGUUUUAGGC